rnacentral:rRNA from 1 species
GACGAACGCUGGCGGCGUGCUUAACACAUGCAAGUCGAACGCUGAAGCUCAGCUUUUGUUGGGUGGAUGAGUGGCGAACGGGUGAGUAACACGUGAGUAACCUGCCCCCUUCUUUGGGAUAACGCCCGGAAACGGGUGCUAAUACUGGAUAUUCACUGGUCUUCGCAUGGGGGUUGGUGUAAAGGGUUUUUCUGGUGGGGGAUGGGCUCGCGGCCUAUCAGCUUGGUGGUGGGGUGAUGUCCUACCACUGCUUUGACGGGUAGCCGGCCUGAGAGGCUGACCGGUCACAUUGGGACUGGGAUAAGGCCCAGACUACUACGGGAGGCAGAAGUGGGGAAGAUUGCACAAUGGGCGCAAGCAUGAUGCAGCGACGCCGCGUGAGGGAUGGAGGCCUUCGGGUUGUGAAACUCUUUCGCUAAUGGUCAAGCCGCAACAAUGGUUGUGGUGAGGGUAGUGGGUAAAGAAGCGCCGGCUAACUACGUG